rnacentral:lncRNA from 1 species
ACCCCGUUGGAAAAGCCUAAGGGAUAACGCCAAUAGACCUUAAUGGGGGCAUAGUCCCACAGGUUGGGUCCUGUGCUGGCCCCUGCUGGUUGAGCUUCUCACCUUCUCUGGACUUUCCAUCAGCAGCCCAUCAGCACCCGUAACCUCUCUGGGACAUGUACAAAAUAUAUAUUUUUUCUAUUUCACGCAUUUUGGUUUCAUUUUCUCAUUGUAUCUCACCUGAAACACACACUCAAACCUAACAUUUCCCCUAUCAUGACUCUCCGAGAGAGUUGUUAUCUUGACUUAGGAUCACUCUCAAGAGAGAGCCCUCAAGACCAAACACCAAAAUAUCAUUACAACACUAUUCUAUUGGAAAGUAAAAUUCUGAUUGAGUUAAGUAGUCUUGCUGGUCUAUGGUACCUUUCACAUACAUCUGGAUCAAAUACAUUAUGUCCCUCAAUCCACUUGAAUAGUAUGUAUCCAAAUAUUCAUCUCAGGUAAGAAAAAUGGAGGUGAAAUGUGCUUAAAGUUCCCCAGUUCACUUAUACAGUGGUGCAUUAGUCAUGCAGCAAUGCCUUAUCAAGCAUCUAACAUGUGUUAGUCACAGUGCUACAUAAUGGAGAUACAGUGAACAGGUCAUUAUGUGAUCAGAUUUUGUUGAUGAAAACUCAUAGUUGGCUGCAAGAUGAACACAGUAGAGGGUCAAAUGGCAGAUAUUAGAAGGCAAUUCGAUGCUUAAUUGAGAGAGAAUGGAAAGGUGAAAAACCCACAGGACUUGAUGCUUGGAGAGAGGAAGAAGGAGGUAUCAAAGAUGUCUCCCACUUUUCCAAAUUCUUAUUUGGAUGAUGUUCUAAGGAGAGCUUCUAACAACAAUCAUG